rnacentral:lncRNA from 1 species
CUGUGGACAGGCAAUAGCCGGGAGGGUGGCUAAAUUUCUGUUAGAGAGAAUCAUUCCGACUUGGGGGAUGCCUCUGGGACUUCACAGCCAUCGAGGAACCUAUUUCACAGGAUGCUGAGAAGUCCCAUGAUCAGCCGUCUGCAAGGUGAAGACCCAGGAAAGCCAGAGGUGUAGUUCUAUAUGAGUCUGAAGGCCUGAGAACAGUCAGUGCCAGUGUCAAGAGUAGAAGAUGGAUGUCUCAGCUCAAGCAAAGAGAGCAAAUGUGCCUUCCCUCCACCAUUUUGUUCUAGUCAGUCCUCAGCUGAAAGGAUGGUGUCCACCCACAUUGGACACAGGAAACAAAAGGAAAAAAGAGAGGAGGACAAACCACUGUUGCCACUCCACUGCUGUUCUUUUCUGGCUUCUUACCUUGACUCUUGUCCUGGCUUAGUGAUAGAAAAACCCCGCUACAGAUAGUGGGACAGUCCUUGUUUACGCCCCGUUUCCACUCCAGAGAUCUGAGAUUGGACAACACACUCUGUGGUCACCUUACCUAUGGAGAGAGACUGUGCCCAGGAAAUCUUUUGAAUUCUUGGUAAAUAGAUGAAGAGUAAGUUGACCCCUUCUGCGUUUUGUACUCAC